CUGGCUAAUUUAUAAAGAAAAGCGGUUUAAUUGACUCACAGUUCCACGUGGCUGGGAGGCCUCAGGACACUUACAAUCUUGGCAAAAGGGGAAGCAAGGCACUUUCUCUUCCAUAGGGUGGCUGGAGACAGCCAGAGGGGGUAACUGCCAACACUUUUAAACCAUCGGAUCUCGUGAGAACUCACUAUCACGAGAACAGCAUGGGGGAAACCGUCCCCAGGACCCGAUCACCUCCCACCAGGUCCCUUCCUCAACAGGUGAAAUUACAAUUUGAGAUAUGAUUUGGGUGGAGACACAGCCAAACCGUUAUCACAGGGUUUCCAUGAAUGCCUACCUCCUAAAGUGGAUUAUGAAGAAAUCAUGGCAUGGGAGAGCCCUGUACAUGGAGCCUGGCAUGGAGGCAGCAAUUCCUACACGGAGCCGCAGCUGUGAUUACUGUUAAUUAUCUUGCCUCCUUGUAGUGUUAGCAAUAGAGAAACAGAAGCACAGAGUUGCAGAGGGACCCAGCUAGGCACUGACAGAGCAGGAGACUAAGAUCCUCUGGCCUUGUUUGACCUUUCACUCUUUUUUCUCUUCCCCACCCUCAACUUUAUCAACCUAAUCACCCACCCUGUCUCUUUUCUACCAGGCAAACCAGGACAGUGGUGAAGUGCAGCAGGACCCCAGGUACCAGGGUCUGCGGGCACGUGGCCGGGAGAUCCGGAAGAAGCUUUUUCCUCUGUACCCCAGGGAGGCCCAGCUGGAGGAGCAGUUCUAUUUGCAGGCGCUGAAGCUGCCCAACCAGACCCACCCAGACGUGCCCGUCGGGGAUGAGAGCCAGGCUCAAGUACUCCACGUGGUCGGAGACAAGCCAGGUGGGCCACACCCCCGGCCUGGGAGCUGACAAGCCCUGUGGUGUGGGGGUUCUGGGGUCUCGGGGUGGGGGCCCCUGGGGUCUGGGAACAUGUCUGGAGCCUGGAGAACUCCUGGCGGUACAAGAGGUGGCUCCAGCUUCCUGCCUUGGCCGGGCUCAAGCUGUCUCUGAGAGGCGGCCCUUGGGUUUUCAUUAUCUCCCCCUUCACCACUGGGCAGUUUCACCCUGUGUUGUGUGAUUGUAUUGUAUGUGUAUG